GCCAAUCUCCGCCGACGUCAGAAAUUCUAUGAAUAAAUUUGAGGCUCAUUUUUCGCACUAUGAAAUUGGGAAAUCCACAUAGAACUUGUUUAUUCUUUCGAAUUCCAACCACCGCACGCCCUCCCUAGUAUAUAUAAAACCUAGCGAACAUUCAGCGAAGCCCAGAAUGGAAACUGUGAGUGUUGCGGCUCUAUCGAUCUUACAACAGGAUCAACACGGAUUGAAGUUGCGUUAUAUCUCUUUGAUUUCGUUUAGUUGAGGAAAUGUGCUCAUUUCAGUAGGCCUGUUUGUGUUUUAACCAACAUCUAAUGGAUAUUUCUGCUGACAUUCCAACUGUCGCAUUUAAGCACUUUUGUUUAUUUGUGCGGAUUCAAUUGUCUUAUAGAAUUAGCAAUGCACAGAGUCGUGAUAAAGUCCUUAUAGUUACAGCAGUUCGCUUGGUAAAACAAUGUGCUCUCCUCAGGCAACGCGCUGGAUUUUUUCCAGGUUCUCCGCCAUCAUCAGCUCAGCACCUGAAGCAAAUAUCGAGCAAAUGUUAUACCAAUGACUAAAACACUCGCAUCGUGAAGCACACCCCUUUUCUUCAUAAUUAUAUUUUCAUUUCAAGGUAGGAUUCAGCAGUUCGUCUAUGCACAGAAUUCUCCCAAUUAUACGCGCUCAGCAUAAGAAGUCUUGUGUAUUCUAUUGAAAGAAUUUUGAAACAUUGGAAUUGUUUAGUUCAGCAUUUGCGUAUCACGGGUGCUAAAGUAAUAACGAGUAAUUCUUUAUUCCAACCAAAGAGAAUGAAGUAGCGACCUUCGUUAAUGAGAAUUUGGGAGUUACCAAGCAUCACCACGCGGGGAAAAUGAAGGUGUGCGGGAAAUUCAGCUCAGAAACCAAAUAAUUCCAAUUUGAAACAAAACAAACAAUAAAACGUCAAAACAAGAACUGCUGAUUUCGCAAAAUCCUUGAAAUAAUACCUGAUUUCAGCAGGGCGAGGCGCGUUUGCAUUGAACAUUGUACAAAACAAGCAAUCAGCCAAGCAAUCAGCGAUACAGGAACAUUAAUCAGAGAACAGGUUCGACAUAUAUACAAAGUAUACCAGGCCAGGCCGCUGUUUUAUUUCAACCCUCCCAUUUCACCUCUAAAUAUAAUGUGAAAAAAAAAAACGAACAGAUUUCGCUUGGAGUAUACUGCUGCGGCUGCACUUUAUUUGAAUUGUUACAUCAUCCGUGCUGAUGAUUUUGGCUGAUAACGCCUUAUUAACAAUUGCUGGAUGGAAUCCAAAGUAGUUUGACUUGCUCCCGAUAUAGAAAACGCGCCAAUGGCACACUAACCACCAAAAGUUUUCGUUGUUUAUCCCUGAAUUUCCGGGUGUAAUACAAGGGCAUGUAACGAAAAUAAUGCGCAGAUCGCUGAGGAUAUAUCGACGAAAGAAAUGGCAUUGGUUAGCCAGCGCUUCUUAUCGGAGGGUUGAGUAUAAAAGGACCGGAGCAAGAACCGGGGAGCUGAUCAUAACCACCCAUAUCAUCGUCGAACUCUUAGCAGUUCUCUCCAUUUUCUCAACUUCUCUCCAGCAACGACAUUAUGAAGUUUAAGAUCGCUUGCGUUUUGCUGCUCGCUGUGGCCGCUCAAGUCCAGGUUAUCGAAAGUUAUACUGGCUACCCGCUGCUACCCGCUGCUACCGACGCCGCUCCCUUCCGCGCAAAGCGUCAAUUAGGUGGCGUGUUGGACAAGAUUUUUAAAAGUCCACCAAGAUGGGGGCGAAGCGUGAGUGAAAUUAUUGAACCAACCGGCACAGACUAUAAGAGCCUUGACGCUGCUCCAGCAUCCAGCACAAAGUAUCAAAGUCAAUUGCAAUAUGGUGGAAAUCGCCCCGGCCGAAGUUUGAAGGAACCAGCAGCUAGCAAGCAGCGUCAAAUUUAGAGAUGCAGGGGCAGUGUCGACAAGCCUGGUCUACGGCCUAAACUGCUGCCACUUUGGUUUUUUUUUUCCAUUUCGGCCAAGCUACGCCCAUGCUUGAUAAUUACCCAUGGGAUGGGCAGUCGAACAAAAGUUAAAGUUAUCUCAUUUUAACCAGAAUAUAUUAUUGACAAAUUGUAUUCGACUCGGAGCAUACGGUAGCCAUUGUUUUGUUAUUUGGCUGAAAUACAUUCUUAUUCAGGACUAA